rnacentral:rRNA from 1 species
CCCUACGGGGUGCGCAACACCAUGCGGAUCGCCCGUGAGGAGAUCUUCGGGCCGGUGCUGUCGACCCUCACCUUCCGCGACCCGGAAGAGGCGGUUCGGCUGGCCAACGACACCCGCUACGGCCUCGCCUCCUCGCUCUAUACCAACGACCUCAGCCUCGCCCACAAGAUGGCCCGCGCCAUCCGGGCCGGCACGGUGUCGGUCAACUGCUACUCCGAGGGCGACAUGGCGGUGCCGUUCGGCGGCUUCAAGGAAUCCGGCUUCGGCGGCCGCGACAAGUCGCUGCUCGCCCACGACCAGUACACCGAGACCAAGACGAUCUGGAUCCAGCUGCGGUAGGGGCAGCAAGCCCCCUCAUGCUCCCCCUGGAAGAGGGGAGUGGUGGGGGGACCUCGCCUCGCAUUGGCGGGGGGGC